UCCCUUUUUAUUUUAUCCCAGCUCCUUCAACCUUCUCAUUCUCCCUCACUCACCUGAAUCACCUCCCUCAUCCUCCUUAUUCUCCAGUCGACACUCUUGCACAGUUUAGCCUCUCUCACUCAAUCACAGCGGCAAGCUCAUCAUCCAGUGACACUGCCUUCGGUCACCUCUAACUCCCCAGAUCGUCGCUACUAGCCUUUUCACGGCCAGCCUCGUCGCCGCCAACCUCUUCGCCACCAGCCUCAGCGCUAUCAGAUCUACUUCUCGCCAAUAUCGUUGUCUCGACGAGACCACUGGGUUGCUUGAUUGCUACUCUCUGCCGCUAAUAGGUCCUUCUCUCUACCAACCAUGUUGCUGCCAGAUCUGCAUCUUCUCGCCAACCUCGUUGUCUCACCUUAACCACUGGACUUUCUGAUUGCUACUCUGUGUCGCUGACAAGUUCUUCUCGCUGUCAUCCUCAAUGUCGCUAGAAGGAGGAGUAGCGCCACCCCGAUUCCGAGUACGUGUUCAAUCCCUAUUACGACGACACCACAAUAAUCAACAACUAUGCCUCCAUAAUUAUAACUAUCACUGCAACAGUUCUGAACCAUUUUUUUUUUAAUUUGAAUUGAAUUUGAUGGAGGUGUAAAGGGCAAAGGGAUGUUCCAGAGAGCAAAGCAAGAGGUUGUUUCUUUUGUUGAGUUGGGGAAGAGGUUGUUGCUUCUUCAGCUUGUUUUGGGUGGUGCAGUUAGUGGCUCUUUGAUGAUUUUGAUAGAUUUAAUUUUUUGAUAGGGCUAUUAAUACCAUAGUCUGGCUUGAUGAUUCGAUUAUUGUGAAAAUUAAUUUUGAAAGCUUAUCGCCAUUUCUUUGUGAUGAAUGCAACUCCAGAUUCGGCGGCUGGAGAGUACGGCUGCUGGAAGUCAGGUUACGGCGGUGUCGGGAAUAACACUUUUCCAAUCCUUUUUUGGGUUGUCAUUCUUCUAUGGUUCUUCAAUUAAUAAGGUAGGAUUAAGUUGACUUGGGAUCACUGGCAAGAAUCCAUAGAAGGAGACGGCGCACUACGGUGGUGGAGAUCGAGUGAUUGAACUACAAAACCCUAAUCAGAAUUUUUCGAUUCCAAUGGAGGAGAAACACCGCGAUGCUGGAGCUCUGAAGCGUAAGGCCAGCUCCCUCUCACUAUAGCGCGUCAAAUCCACGCGGUGUCAUCGUUGCGUCAUCUUUCCCGGCAAGUUCUGCCGCUUGUUCUGCUUUUGAUCCAGCAGAUGUGAAGCACUCAGAGCACAGUUUGGGCGUGGACUCAGUGCCGUUGGCUGAGGAGAUCUGAGAGAAGAGCAAAACAGAGAGAGCUCGCCUCGCCGUCGUCGUUGCCGUCGCCACCGCAGUUCAUCGCCUCUCCAGAUCUGGUCGCAAUGCCCAAGCCUCUGAAGAUGUUCCAUUACGACCUCCUCGACGAGACGCAAAACAAGCUCGAUUACAUCCUCUCUCUCUCUCUCACUGUCGAGAACUUCCUCAAGCGCUGCCUCCAUAUUCUCAUCUUCAAGUCCGGCAUGGCCAAGUCCAUCCAUCAGUGCAUAUUAGAGCAUACAAGAAGCUUUCAGCCGUUGGAUUGUGGGAGAGUAAAAAGAAAACCUCAGUGGAGGCACAACUCAAGAUAAUUGAGGAAAAUUUGAAAAGAAAGAAAGCAGCAUAUGCAGAAAAGAUGAAGAAUAAGAUAGCUGAUAUUCAUAGGUCAGCAGAAGAGAAAAGGGCAAUGGUUAAAGCUCAAAAGAGGGAAGAGUUUAUCGAGUUAGAGGAAAUAACUGCAAAGUUUUGUAGUAGUGGUCGUACACCAGCCAAAUUCUUUGCAUGUUUUAAAGCAUAAGUUUUCUUUUUUUGUUUUUCUAUGUAGCUAACUACAAAAAGAUCAGAAUAUCAUUGGUGUGGUUAUUACUUUGUUAAUAUUCAUUUAAAAAUUUGCUUUAGAGUGUUGUAUUUUUCUCUUGGUGUAUAUACUAUUAUAUCAUUGAUAUGAACAAGAAAAUAAGU